UAACUAGUAGCAUAAAGGAAGUGCGAAGGGCUUUGAUCUCUUUCGUGUAGGUUCAAUUCCUAUCUAUUUAA
rnacentral:tRNA from 1 species